rnacentral:lncRNA from 1 species
UGACUCUGAGGGACCAGCCUUGUGAUCAGAUACGAACUGAAUAUUAGGAGAUGCUCUGUGAUCACGAGGAGGUGAAGACGGUCCCUCCUCCUCUACUCUCUUUUCAACACCCUUCGACCAACCACCAUCAGUCUUUGAGAAACCCAUGCGGUGCAGUGUAUGACGGUUGAUGGGGUCAGAGUGUGACAAUUUGGUGACUGCCUCCCCCUCAAAACAGACUCCGAACCUCCU